rnacentral:rRNA from 1 species
GACGAACGCUGGCGGCGUGCUUAACACAUGCAAGUCGAACGGAAAGGCCCUGCUUUUGUGGGGUGCUCGAGUGGCGAACGGGUGAGUAACACGUGAGUAACCUGCCCUUGACUUUGGGAUAACUUCAGGAAACUGGGGCUAAUACCGGAUAGGAGCUCCUGCUGCAUGGUGGGGGUUGGAAAGUUUCGGCGGUUGGGGAUGGACUCGCGGCUUAUCAGCUUGUUGGUGGGGUAGUGGCUUACCAAGGCUUUGACGGGUAGCCGGCCUGAGAGGGUGACUGGCCACAUUGGGACUGAGAUACGGCCCAGACUCCUACGGGAGGCAGCAGUGGGGAAUAUUGCACAAUGGGCGGAAGCCUGAUGCAGCAACGCCGCGUGCGGGAUGACGGCCUUCGGGUUGUAAGCCGCUUUCGCCUGUGACGAAGCGUGAGUGACGGUAAUGGGUAAAGAAGCACCGGCUAACUACGUGCCAGCAGCCGCGGUGAUACGUAGGGUGCGAGCGUUGUCCGGAUUUAUUGGGCGUAAAGGGCUCGUAGGUGGUUGAUCGCGUCGGAAGUGUAAUCUUGGGGCUUAACCCUGAGCGUGCUUUCGAUACGGGUUGACUUGAGGAAGGUAGGGGAGAAUGGAAUUCCUGGUGGAGCGGUGGAAUGCGCAGAUAUCAGGAGGAACACCAGUGGCGAAGGCGGUUCUCUGGGCCUUUCCUGACGCUGAGGAGCGAAAGCGUGGGGAGCGAACAGGCUUAGAUACCCUGGUAGUCCACGCUGUAAACGGUGGGUACUAGGUGUGGGGUCCAUUCCACGGGUUCCGUGCCGUAGCUAACGCUUUAAGUACCCCGCCUGGGGAGUACGGCCGCAAGGCUAAAACUCAAAGGAAUUGACGGGGCCCCGCACAAGCGGCGGAGCAUGCGGAUUAAUUCGAUGCAACGCGUAGAACCUUACCUGGGUUUGACAUGGAUCGGGAGUGCUCAGAGAUGGGUGUGCCUCUUUUGGGGUCGGUUCACAGGUGGUGCAUGGCUGUCGUCAGCUCGUGUCGUGAGAUGUUGGGUUAAGUCCCGCAACGAGCGCAACCCUUGUUCACUGUUGCCAGCACGUUAUGGUGGGGACUCAGUGGAGACCGCCGGGGUCAACUCGGAGGAAGGUGGGGAUGACGUCAAGUCAUCAUGCCCCUUAUGUCCAGGGCUUCACGCAUGCUACAAUGGCUGGUACAGAGAGUGGCGAGCCUGUGAGGGUGAGCGAAUCUCGGAAAGCCGGUCUCAGUUCGGAUUGGGGUCUGCAACUCGACCUCAUGAAGUCGGAGUCGCUAGUAAUCGCAGAUCAGCAACGCUGCGGUGAAUACGUUCCCGGGGCU